GGAGAUAACCCAGGGCAGGGUCUGGUGACCCUGGUUGGAUCACGGAGGUCCACCAGCGCCCGGCAGCCAGAUGGGUUCUGCCUGCGUCCCUUGGCUGUGCCUCCUGCUGCUGGCCCUGCCCACCUCACACGCAGGUAUUGCUGUGCCCAGAGCUAACCUUGCUGAGGAGGCAAAUGGCUCUUCCAUCAUCAAAACCACUGUGACAGUCUACUACUGUAAAAACUAUGGAGGAGAAGAAUGCAAAACAUCUGAUUACACAGGCUUUGAAAUAAUUGGCAAAACAGAAAAUGAGACAUUUUCGAAUGAAAAUAUUAGUCUGGUGACCAGUGAAAUGCACAUUACUAUGUGUUUUCAGCAAGAAAACAUGUGUCGUGAUGGAGCUUAUGUCAUUUUCUGGGAGAAGGCCGGGGGAGUAGGAGAUCCGCGUGGCAUCUUGAAGUGUGAAGCUCCCCUUGAAGAUAGGAGACAUAGCAUCAUAGAGGAGGGGAAAAUCUGCUGUGAGACAGAGACCGAUCAUGCAAACCCUCACAGUGUCCUGAAGUGCUACAUUGGAAGGACAGAUGAGAAAAAUACAAACACAAUGGAUGGCAUCAAUUAUUAUGGGGAUCUGGGUAAUCAUCAAUAUUUAGUCGGUGAAAACAACCAAACCGGCCUCACUGCCACACUCCUCGUUGUCGGGAUCUGUGCAGGAGCAGCAGCACUGCUGUCCAUGUAUUGUUAUUACAAGAGGCGGACCCGGAAACAUCAAGGACCUAUCAUAUUGCUCGCUCAGACUCAUCCAGUGAGUGGAGAGAAAUAGCUGUCUUGAAGGUGAUCUGUCUUACCUGUGACGGUGCCUGUUUCUCUGACUACAAGGGCAGCCAAUGAUAACAAGCUGAGACUGUUGAAUAUCUGCAGAUAGAUAAAACACAAGUUGAUCUGUGAAAAAUGUGAGUUACACAAGUGCUUGCAAAACUUAGUAAGGAUAGUGCAAUGCUGGUAUCACUGUAGUCAUGUUACUAAGACAUAGAAAUAAACAUACUGCUGGGAUAUGCA
ensembl:lncRNA uncharacterized LOC110407425